GGACGGGUUAGUAACGCGUGGGAACAUACCCUUCUCUAAGGAAUAGCCUCUGGAAACGGAGAGUAAUACCUUAUACGCCCUUUGGGGGAAAGAUUUAUCGGAGAUGGAUUGGCCCGCGUUAGAUUAGAUAGUUGGUGGGGUAAUGGCCUACCAAGUCUACGAUCUAUAGCUGGUUUUAGAGGAUGAUCAGCAACACUGGGACUGAGACACGGCCCAGACUCCUACGGGAGGCAGCAGUGGGGAAUCUUAGACAAUGGGCGCAAGCCUGAUCUAGCCAUGCCGCGUGAGUGAUGAAGGCCUUAGGGUCGUAAAGCUCUUUCGCCAGGGAUGAUAAUGACAGUACCUGGUAAAGAAACCCCGGCUAACUCCGUGCCAGCAGCCGCGGUAAUACGGAGAGAGUUAGCGGUUGUUCGGAAUUACUGGGCGUAAAGCGUACGUAGGCGGAUCACAAAGUAAGAGGUGAAAUCCCAGGGCUCAACCCUGGAACUGCCUUUUAAAACUCCUGGUCUUGAGUUCGAGAGAGGUGAGUGGAAUUCCGAGUGGUAGAGGUGAAAUUCGUACAUUUUGCGAGGAACACCAGUGGCGAAAGCGGGUCACUGGCUCGAUACUGAUGUUGAGGU
rnacentral:rRNA from 1 species